AUUAUUUAUCGAAAUAUAACCGUAACGAGAAGAGAAUGUGAACAUUUCUUAUGAAUAUUCAGGAACUAUUAGCUCGCGUGACUAAUUGACAUCUACGAUUAACAACUCCAGAAAUAGGAUUACUAUGGCGAGUGAUGCAUGUUUUUGGAUGUUAGCGUUUUGUACCAUGAAGAGGAACAAAGAAGAUGCAAAGAAUAAAGGCGCGAGAAAAUAAAGAGAACUGGAAAAAAUAACGGCGGAAUAAUCAAUUGGAAGGAUAAACGAGUAUUGCUACAGCGUGAUUUACAGAUAAUUGUCCUACGAUUGCUUCACUGUUGCACAUUCGUUCGACAAUUCGUUGUGCGAGUGUCAUGCGCUAGUGUAUUGUGUCAAUGUUGGACUUGUCAGCACCUUCAAGAUUCACCUUCAAGCUCGUUUUACCGAUAUUCCCGUUUACACUUACUCAUUGAGGAUCAUAUUUCCGAUGCCGAAAUGGGAUAUUCAUUAAGAUGUUGGACAACGUUCUCACGCCAAAUGUAUCGUGAUACAAGAUAAUGUCGUUCGCGUACAUGUUCAUGUAUAUAUGUUCGCACGGUUUCAGGCUCUGAAUUCACGCUCGAGAUUCGGCCGAUUAAGAGCACGUUCUACUUUGACAAACGGUUCGGCUCGAAUUGGUUAGAGUUCGGUAGAUUAUCAUUAAUGGGUCUCUUCUCUUGUAUUGUCUAUCAACCAUAUUAUAUUGCAUCGUUGGUGACAUGUAUUGCAUUGAUUAAAAUUACUUAAACCGAUUUUAACUCGUUACGAGAGAUUGAAUUCCCAUUUUCUAGAUUAUCUAGAUUGCUAGUAUCGGAAAUAGAUAUUUUCUCUCUCGUGUUCAUCCUGCCUUAAGAUAUUAUCUAUAAUCUAUAGCAUAGUACACCCUCGUAUCUCUCAUAUAAAAUCGUG